UCCCCGCCGAAAGACCAAGGGUUCCUGGGCCAGGCCAGUCCGCCCAGGGUGAGUCGGGACCUAAGGCGAGGCCGACAGGCGUAGUCGAUGGACAACGGGUUGAUAUUCCCGUACCCGUGUGUGGGCGCCCGUGACGAAUCAGCGGUACUAACCACCCAAAACCGGAUCGAUCACUCCCCUUCGGGGGUGUGGAGUUCUGGGGCUGCGUGGGAACUUCGCUGGUAGUAGUCAAGCGAAGGGGUGACGCAGGAAGGUAGCCGUACCAGUCAGUGGUAACACUGGGGCAAGCCGGUAGGGAGAGCGAUAGGCAAAUCCGUCGCUCACUAAUCCUGAGAGGUGACGCAUAGCCGGUUGAGGCGAAUUCGGUGAUCCUCUGCUGCCAAGAAAAGCCUCUAGCGAGCACACACACGGCCCGUACCCCAAACCGACACAGGUGGUCAGGUAGAGCAUACCAAGGCGUACGAGAUAACUAUGGUUAAGGAACUCGGCAAAAUGCCCCCGUAACUUCGGGAGAAGGGGGACCGGAAUAUCGUGAACACCCUUGCGGUGGGAGCGGGAUCCGGUCGCAGAAACCAGUGAGGAGCGACUGUUUACUAAAAACACAGGUCCGUGCGAAGUCGCAAGACGAUGUAUACGGACUGACGCCUGCCCGGUGCUGGAAGGUUAAGAGGACCCGUUAACCCGCAAGGGUGAAGCGGAGAAUUUAAGCCCCAGUAAACGGCGGUGGUAACUAUAACCAUCCUAAGGUAGCGAAAUUCCUUGUCGGGUAAGUUCCGACCUGCACGAAUGGCGUAACGACUUCUCAACUGUCUCAACCAUAGACUCGGCGAAAUUGCACUACGAGUAAAGAUGCUCGUUACGCGCGGCAGGACGAAAAGACCCCGGGACCUUCACUACAACUUGGUAUUGAUGUUCGGUACGGUUUGUGUAGGAUAGGUGGGAGACUGUGAAACCUCGACGCCAGUUGGGGCGGAGUCGUUGUUGAAAUACCACUCUGAUCGUAUUGGGCAUCUAACCUCGAACCCUGAAUCGGGUUUAGGGACAGUGCCUGGCGGGUAGUUUAACUGGGGCGGUUGCCUCCUAAAAUGUAACGGAGGCGCCCAAAGGUUCCCUCAACCUGGACGGCAAUCAGGUGGCGAGUGUAAAUGCACAAGGGAGCUUGACUGCGAGACUUACAAGUCAAGCAGGGACGAAAGUCGGGAUUAGUGAUCCGGCACCCCCGAGUGGAAGGGGUGUCGCUCAACGGAUAAAAGGUACCCCGGGGAUAACAGGCUGAUCUUCCCCAAGAGUCCAUAUCGACGGGAUGGUUUGGCACCUCGAUGUCGGCUCGUCGCAUCCUGGGGCUGGAGCAGGUCCCAAGGGUUGGGCUGUUCGCCCAUUAAAGCGGCACGCGAGCUGGGUUUAGAACGUCGUGAGACAGUUCGGUCUCUAUCCGCCGCGCGCGUCAGAAACUUGAGGAAACCUGUCCCUAGUACGAGAGGACCGGGACGGACGAACCUCUGGUGCACCAGUUGUCCCGCCAGGGGCACCGCUGGAUAGCCACGUUCGGUCAGGAUAACCGCUGAAAGCAUCUAAGCGGGAAACCUUCUCCAAGAUCAGGUUUCUCACCCACUUGGUGGGAUAAGGCCCCCCGCAGAACACGGGUUCAAUAGGUCAGACCUGGAAGCUCAGUAAUGGGUGUAGGGAACUGGUGCUAACCGGCCGAAAACUUACAACA
rnacentral:rRNA from 1 species